rnacentral:lncRNA from 1 species
GGAAGCUGCUCUGGUCUGAUUGUCCAUAGUGCCUCCAUCUCCCUUCACCUAUAUGAAGGGUGAGAUUUCUAUGUAUCUUUGCAAUCUCUUAGCAGCUUGUCCGAGGGAUUAUGGGAAGCUUAAAUGAGAUCAUGAUUGAAACUGGCUCAACAGGAUGCCUGACACCAAAGCCAGUGGAAUCUGUUCUACACAAGUUAUAUCAAAGUCACAAUGUGUGAUCAUCCCCAAAUGCAGUGCAUUCAAACUUGCAGAUUUUAUGAACGCCCCCAUAUUCAUAUAAUCAGUUUCAUGGAACAUUGAUGGCUCUUUAUUUCUCAUUACAAGGACUUCUGACAAUAUUUGAAAUACAAGACAGCUGAACACAUCGCUGAGUGUCAAAAGCUUUUGGCAUUGAGGCAUACUUACAGCUUCCUGAUAUGUAAUUAUGUGUCAUUUGAUUGAGGUAAGAAUUCCAAUCCUCUGUGCUUUGCUGUGGUGUGUGGGAAGGAGUCAAUUGCGUAGUCAAUAUUUACCAUUUUGGUUGCUGGGCAUUUAAUUCUUCUUUUUGGUCAAGAACUCUGACUGAGCUUCAGAGGAACGGCUCCUGCCUCACUCUCAGCCCCUGUACUUUCAGUAAAGCAGCUCAACAUCCCCUCAUUCCAGGGGUAGAACAGGCAGCCUCAGGUUAUUCCAAUCAAUCCUUUCUGUUCUCAUUACAGUUACUGCUUCAGAGAUGGGCACUGCAAAAACUCCCAGGGGUCUUCACAGCUACACUAGAUGUUUAAACUCAC